UACGUAGGGACCGAGCGUUGUCCGGAAUCAUUGGGCGUAAAGAGCGUGUAGGCGGCCUUUUAAGUCCUGCGUGAAAUCCUGCGGCUCAACCGCAGACGGUCGUGGGAAACUGGAAGGCUAGAGUGCGGGAGAGGAGAGUGGAAUUCCCGGUGUAGCGGUGAAAUGCGCAGAUAUCGGGAAGAACACCCGUGGCGAAGGCGGCUCUCUGGAACGCAACUGACGCUGAGACGCGAAAGCGUGGGAGCAACAGG
rnacentral:rRNA from 1 species